CAGUUAGUUUCGGUCUAACCCGAAAAAGAAUA
rnacentral:tRNA from 1 species